AAGUCGUAACAAGGUUUCCGUAGGUGAACCUGCGGAAGGAUCAUUAUCGAGUUUUGAACGGGUUGUAGCUGGCCUCUCGCGAGGCAUGUGCACGCCUGGCUCAUCCACUCUUAACCUCUGUGCACUUUAUGUAAGAGAAAAAAAUGGUGGAAGCUUCCAGGAUCUCGCGAGAGGUCUUCGGUUGAACAAGCCGUUUUUCUUUCUUAUGUUUUACUACAAACGCUUCAGUUAUAGAAUGUCAACUGUGUAUAACACAUUUACAUACAACUUUCAGCAACGGAUCUCUUGGCUCUC
rnacentral:misc_RNA from 1 species